UGCGUGUGUGUGUGUGUGUGUGUGUGUGUGUGUGUGUGUGUUUAUCUCCCGUUCCACCAGCGGUCCGCAUGACCCAGUUCAGCACCGCACACUGAGG
rnacentral:miRNA from 1 species